CUACGGGCCGCUGCAGUGAGGAAUAUUGCACAAUGGGGGGAACCCUGAUGCAGCAACGCCGCGUGGAGGAUGACGCAUUUCGGUGUGUAAACUCCUUUUAUAUGUCAAGAAAAUGACGGUAGCAUAUGAAUAAGCACCGGCUAACUCCGUGCCAGCAGCCGCGGUAAUACGGAGGGUGCAAGGCGUUACUCGGAAUCACUGGGCGUAAAGGACGCGUAGGCGGGUUGGAAAGUCAGGUGUGAAAUCCUACAGCUUAACUGUAGAACUGCACUUGAAACUUCUAAUCUAGAGCAUGGGAGGGGGAGAUGGAAUUAGUGGUGUAGGGGUAAAAUCCGUAGAUAUCACUAGGAAUACCUAAAGCGAAGGCGAUCUCCUGGAACAUUACUGACGCUAAGGCGUGAAAGCGUGGGGAGCAAACAGGAUUAGAUACCCGAGUAGUC
rnacentral:rRNA from 1 species